CUAAAUGAUCUAACAGAGCCUAUGGCCCGAUCCUGUCUGAUCUCGGAAGCUAAGCAGGGUCGGGCCUGGUUAGUAUUUGGAUGGGAGACCACCUAGGAAGACCAGGUGCUGUAGGUG
rnacentral:rRNA from 1 species